UACGGAGGGUGCAAGCGUUAAUCGGAAUUACUGGGCGUAAAGCGCACGCAGGCGGUUUGUUAAGUCAGAUGUGAAAUCCCCGGGCUCAACCUGGGAACUGCAUCUGAUACUGGCAAGCUUGAGUCUCGUAGAGGGGGGUAGAAUUCCAGGUGUAGCGGUGAAAUGCGUAGAGAUCUGGAGGAAUACCGGUGGCGAAGGCGGCCCCCUGGACGAAGACUGACGCUCAGGUGCGAAAGCGGGGGGAGCAAACAGGAGCGAACUGGUAGUCC
rnacentral:rRNA from 2 species